rnacentral:rRNA from 1 species
GACGAACGCUGGCGGCGUGCUUAACACAUGCAAGUCGAACGAUGAUGCUGGAGCUUGCUCCAGUUGAUUAGUGGCGAACGGGUGAGUAACACGUGAGCAAUCUGCCCUUGACUCUGGGAUAACUGCGGGAAACUGUAGCCAAUACCGGAUACUUUCACCGGAAGGCAUCUUCUGGGGAUGACAGAAUUUCGGUCAGGGAUGAGCUCGCGGCCUAUCAGCUUGUUGGUGAGGUAACGGCUCACCAAGGCGACGACGGGUAACCGGCCUGAGAGGGUGACCGGUCACACUGGGACUGAGACACGGCCCAGACUCCUACGGGAGGCAGCAGUGGGGAAUAUUGCACAGUGGGCGCAAGCCUGAUGCAGCAACGCCGCGUGAGGGAUGAAGGCCUUCGGGUUGUAAACCUCUCUUAGCAGGGAAGAAGCGAAAGUGACGAUACCUGCAGAAAAAGCACCGGCUAACUACGUGCCAGCCGCCGCGGUAA